rfam:Triticum aestivum genome assembly, contig: Triticum_aestivum_CS42_TGACv1_scaffold_131774_2BL
CUCUUACUCCCUCCGUCCGGAAAUACUUGUCAUCAAAAUAAAUAAAAAGAGAUGUAUGCUUAUCCAUUUUGAUCCAUUUUGAUGAAAAGUAUUUCCGGACGGAGGGAGUAUGUU